UUAGCCCUUUUCCCUCCAUAUGGCAGGUGCCUCCUCCAGAACUGCCUGGCUCUCAGCCACAAAAGCCUCUUGAAAUAGAGGGUUUCAGGAGCCUUCUCCUUCAACCGUUCCUUAGCCUUGCUCUAGCUGCCAGUGACGCUGAGAUCACAGCCAACCAUCCACCAUGAAGGCCUUCCUCCUGCUCUUUGCUGUUGCUUUCUUGGUUUCCAAGCUGAAAGCUGAGCCAAAUCCAGAGGCAGCACCAGAACCUCAAGGUGAUGCUCCAAUGGGAGCAGCUGCCAGCAGUGGAGGUGGUAAAGAGGAGUGUACCAGGAUGGGGGGCUCGUGUCACCAAACGUUUUGCGGCUAUGGAAUGCAUCGUGUCGGAAACUGUUUCCCAGGUGUGCCCUGCUGUGUUUCAAUCUAGGAAGGAACCAACGUUGUGGAGACACCGGGAAGCCUUGACAGAGAGUGGCUACAUCAGGGGAAGAAACAACUCACAACCAAUCAUUUCUCAACUCUUGUCACUUCUCUUUCACUUUCAUUAAAAUUGACAUUGCAUCUAUUUCACUGAGUAUGUCGUAUUUCACUGUAGUCGAUGGCACCCUUGUCACCCAUUUUCAUCAAUAAGGAUAAACUA
rnacentral:lncRNA from 1 species